GACGACACUCAAUCCACUGAACCACACUGGCCAGGCUGGGAUGUAUGUUAACCUACACCAGAGAGCUCUACACAGCCAUGGGGAGCCCUACAAUUUGAAAAUGGCCAGUCCACCUUUAGCUUCAU